UCUUACCCACUGUGGUGAUUUGGA
rnacentral:piRNA from 1 species